rnacentral:rRNA from 1 species
GACGAACGCUGGCGGCGUGCUUAACACAUGCAAGUCGAGCGGUAAGGCCCUUUCGGGGUACGACGAGCGGCGAACGGGUGAGUAACACGUGGGUGACCUGCCCUCAGCUCUGGGAUAAGCCUGGGAAACUGGGUCUAAUACUGGAUAUGACUCCACGGUGCAUGUCGUGGGGUGGAAAGCCUUGUGCGGCUGAGGAUGGGCCCGCGGCCUAUCAGCUUGUUGGUGGGGUGANGGCCUACCCAAGGCGACGACGGGUAGCCGGCCUGAGAGGGCGACCGGCCACACUGGGACUGAGACACGGCCCAGACUCCUACGGGAGGCAGCAGUGGGGAAUCUUGCGCAAUGGGCGAAAGCCUGACGCAGCGACGCCGCGUGAGGGAUGACGGCCU